GACCUGGUGGUGGAUGGUUCACACCCACCCUCCUUGAGUGAUUUCCAACACAUGUAAGGUGGGAGCUCCCGGUUCGAUUCCGGGCUAGGUCA